GCCUGUUUCAGUAUGUGUGUCUGUUAGUAUGUAUAGGUGUCCUUUUGUAUCAGUGUGUGUGUUUGUGUCUGUAUUCCUGUGGGCGGUAUUUGGAGGCGGGCCCCAGGGGACCUAGACCCCGAGCUGAGUUAGGGGGCCCCAAAAUUUCAGGUGGCGGCCCUGUACAUAACUAACCCCAUUUAACCCCCCCAAUAACGACAGAC